rnacentral:rRNA from 1 species
CCUACGGGAGGCAGCAGUCGAGAAUCAUUCACAAUGGGGGAAACCCUGAUGGUGCGACGCCGCGUGGGGGAAUGAAGGUCUUAGUAUUGUAAACCCCUGUCAUGUGGGCGCAAAUUAAAAAGAUCGUACCACAAGAGGAAGAGCCGGCUAACUCUGUGCCAGCAGCCGCGGUACUGCGGAGGGCUCAAGCGUUGUUCGGAAUCACGGGGCGUAAAGCGUGCGUAGGCUGUUUAGUAAGUCGUGUGUGAAAGGCGCGGGCUCAACCCGCGGACGGCACAUGAUACUGCGAGACUAGAGUAAUGGAGGGGGAACCGGAAUUCGCGGUGUAGCAGUGAAAUGCGUAGAUAUCGAGAGGAACACUCGUGGCGAAGGCGGGUUCCUGGACAUUAACUGACGCUGAGGCACGAAGGCCAGGGGGGCGAAAGGGAUUAGAUACCCCAGUAGUC